AACGCACAUUGCGCCCGCCAGUACUCUGGCGGGCAUGCCUGUUCGAGCGUCGUCUCAACCCUCGAGCCCCCGGGCUCGGUGUUGGGGACCGGCCCCUGACGGUGGCCGCCCCCGAAAUCUAGUGGCGGACUCGCCGUAGCCUCCUCUGCGCAGUAGUUUACACCCUCGCACUGGAACGCGGCGCGGCCCUGCCGUGAAACCCCCCCAUCUUCUCAGGUUGACCUCGAAUCAGGUAGGAAUACCCGCUGAACUUAA
rnacentral:misc_RNA from 1 species